UGAACUUUCAAUGCUGGUAAAUCUUAUUUUCUCUUAUCAGCUACGAUUGCGCAGUGGAAUUAUGACAAGGUUUCAGGAAACUUGUAAACUCGUAACCAUACUUUCAAGAAGGUGCGAGUUAUUAUUGUUGCUGAACCACUUGUUCGCUUAGAUAAGGUUAGAUAACAUCGAGUUGGAAUGAGCGAUUCAACGCAGCACAAUCAUAAUCAUUUCAUGAAGAAUAUAUAUGGUCCCUGAUUGAUCGAUCGAUCAACCCGGUUGAUCCUUUUAAAUAGAUAAAUACUUGAUGCAUGUUUUUGACAUGAAGUAUUGAAGGCAGAAAUGAACUAAGUCACAUUUUUCCUAAAUGUCUGUUCCAACAAGCAGUAUCAAUCGUACGAAGUCUGCUGAGUAUUGGAGUUAGCUGACUUUUGCUCUCAAUGCAUCAUUUAAGGAACUAUUGAAAGUAGGUCAUUUCUUUGGCUUUGAUUCGAGGAAAUUUUCAUAUACCUUUUGACCUUUACUUCGCCGUUUCGAAUGAUGAAGCAUUUCGUGAAGAAUGUAGAGAAGAAUGUAGAGUAGUCAAAGAUUUCUCUGUCCACCAUCCUAGCGGAUCCUCGGUAAGUCUCCUUAUUACAGUGAAAUACCUGAUGGAUUUUUCCAGAUUUAUAUAACGAUAACAUCACCGUGAUUAUUAUGAAAUUUAUCAAAAUUUACAAUGAAAAUUGUGUCUGAAAAGAGAAACAGUUUAUGAUAGAAUUACUGAAGGAAACGUGGUAGUCCACGUUACAGUACUUAGGUAGGAUUAUCUGACGCACUAGCCAAGACAAGUGAUGAAACGGUAAAAUGUUUCUAAACCAAGAACAUUUGCUAAGGUUUAUUUAAACAGAUAUAACGAAUAGAAUGUGAGACUUUUAUUAUUUAGGAAGUCUUCCAGUUUGAAAUAUAAGAAAUGAUGCUAUUUAUUGAUCUUCUGACAGUACUUUAUCGUUAGUACAUUAUUUAUUAACUUUUUAUCGUAUUACAUAUGAAAUAUAAGUUUCUUCACUUGAAAAAAUUGUUGUGUAAUUUAUUAUAUGAUAUUGAACUUUAUCGCGUUAGAGAAUAACCGCUUGAAUUAUCGAUAUUUUAAAUUUGGUAAUUAAUCUACCUCUUAAAAUUACUUUUAUAAUAGGACAGAAAAACCAAAUUUAUAUUGAGACUUUAUUUCGACAAAUGUAAAUGUUGAUGUAAAGUGAUUAAAAUUAUACGAUAUUCUCUAGGACAUUGUAAAUAAUGUACACAUUUUGCACUAUUUAAUGAGACAUUUACUUUUAUGUAAGAAUAAUGUCGCGAUAGUAAUCACAACUUUUAAACAGUUGCUACAAAUACGAUAGUACGAUCGUAUAGAACCCUUAAUAAUCGUUGAUCUGGAUGAUUGUCGCGUUAUUUAUCGAUAAAAAUUACGGAACAAAUCUUCCUUUAUCUAUAUCAAGCCGGUGAUUUCACGGUAAUCACGUUGGAAUUGCGUCGAAUACAAUCGUGAUGAUUAAUUGUAUUUUAUCGUGAGUUUUACUCUAUUCAGAAACACGACCGUGAGAUACAAAAGCUUAUCAUCGCGUACUAGAGAAUCUAACGUAGGUACGAUUCAGUGAUUUCAAUUCAACUUUUGUGAGAAACUUUUCCACGAAAUGCCACUAUAUUCGGAGGAAUGCAAAUGGUUAAUUCUUCGAUAAAUUUUAAUAAUUGUUAUUUAAAUAGAGUUAAAUAAAUCUUAAAUAGAGUUUUAAAUGUUGUUUUAUUGUAAUUGAAAUCUUAUGUUUCGUUAAAAAUCCAGUCCAAAGUAUACUUCGUUCGUAAUAUUCUAAGUCCAAAAUCCACAAAGGACCCUAAAAAAUAUCA